rnacentral:lncRNA from 1 species
GUGAUGCUAACUGUGAGCCUUGCUUAGUUUUUCUAAUUUGCCGCGGGGCUUUUUGGAGGUUGAAAUAAAAGCUAAAUCUUCUGUUCGUCAUGUCUAGUCCUAAGGUAGUAGAUUACCUAAAGACAGUGUAGUUACCUUCAUUUUCACUUUGCAGUUAAGCAGUGAGAAGCUUUUCCCUUCUGAACCGCAAGAAGCAGACAGAGAUCCUGUGGGUAUCAGUGCUCCUCCAGUGGUAAGAGCCAGAUGUCCAGUUGAGGCGAAACAAAUUGCCUGGGUUGCUCCUUCCGCAGCUCGGCUGCUUUCUGAAUUGUGCUGGCCAACUGUGGUGGCCACUUUCAUCUUCAGAUUCAUCUAGGAGCCAGUCUUUCUCACUAGCUUAAGGAAGAGCGUGCUCUGGCCAGCCUGGGUCUCUCGCCCAGCGUUCGAGGGAGCUGGAUGCCCUGUUUUGUAGUCCUGUCAUGAUGCAGUAAGGAGAAGGUGCUUCCCACUAGAAGAAGGGGCGCCGGGCAGACAGAUCAUAUGUAUGCUUUUUAAGGGCGUCGGGUCAUUUUUUUGGCCCACUUUUAUGAAAUUAAACCAAAAGUAAUGAAUAGGAGAUUAAUAUCUGGAGUUUUGGCAGAAAAAAAAUCGCACUCAUUGUCUGAUUAAUUUUAACUCUAAAUGAGCCUUUACUUGUAGUUCUUUCUUAUCUAAACAUGCUCAUUUAAGCUAAAACGUUUCACAUACUUCUUCCUGCUGCCCAUGGAAGUGAGGGGAAGACCUGCCUUCCAGCGUGACCGACCGUCAGGCCUGAUUUUAUAUACUUCUCUUGAGUUCCCGUCGUGGCACAGCAGAAACGCAUCCGACUAGGAACCAUGAGGUUGCCGGUUCAAUCCCUGGCCUUGCCCUGUGGGUUAAGGAUCCGGCGUUGCUAUGGCUGUGGUGUAUGCCAGCAGCUCCAGGUCCAAUUCGACCCCUAGCCUGGAAACCUCCAUAUGCUUCGGGUGCGGCCCUAAAAAGACAACAAAUAAAAUACAUACUUCUUUUGAGAGUUCUUUUAUGUAGUUUCUUUAGCUCUCUGAGACGGGGGGGGGGGGGGGGGGGUGUAUCCAACUCUCUUGAAGUUCCUGCCUCCCUACAGAUUGCUGAAACCCAUUUUUGUGAUUAGAUUCUUUCUUUCAUUUACUUGGACUCUCAAGCUCUGUCAUUGUCCAUAUGUUGUAUGAUUCAUCUCUGAAGCAAUUUUUUCCCCCUUGAAUUUCAGGCUAGUUUCCCAGUUCCUUUUCAUGACACUGAGUAUGUGGUGAUGGGGACAGUGCUGUUGAUGUGGUUGCGAUUUUCCUGCUCAAAAAGGAAAAUACUUUUUAUCACGGAGUGCUUCUAAUCUAAACUCAAUAGAUAGAUAUAGGUGAUACAUAAAUACCAUCAUGAAGCUGAACAAAUAACUUUGAAUACUGUGUGGUUCUUGUGUUGCUUCCAGUACCUGUCAGGAUAUAUUUUUAGUGUGAAAAUUAAGUGUUGAAAUAACUUCUGGUUUUGGACUGUCUGUAAAAAUGUAUUCUUUAUAGAGUGAGAACAGGCAUUUAAAGGGCAUCUGAUAGAAUCCUCCAGCCUUAACUGAGAUCCCCCCAGAACUACCUCGCCACUUCCUGCUGCUUAAACACAUGUAGUGAUGUUGUGGAAAUGUGUUGUUUUGGAUGUUUUAAUUUAAAAAUCCAUCCUUGUUUUGAACUGAAGUCUGCUAUCUUGUGAUCUUAUCCCCCUUUGCUCUGGAGAAGCACUUAGCACACAGAUGAGUUUUUGAGCUCUUGUUAAACAGUGCAUCUCUUGACAGAAUUAAGAAUGGUCAUCUUUAGGAGUUCCCACCGUGGCAUGGUGGAAACGAAUCCGACUGGGAACCAUGACGUUGCAGGUUCAAUCCCUGGCCCUGAUCAGUGGGUUGAGGAUCCAGGCUAGGAGUCUAAUUGGAGCUGUAGCCGCCGGCCUGCACCACAGCUCACAGCAAUGCCAGAUCGUUAACCCACUGAGUGAGGCCAGGGAUCGAACCCGCAACCUAACGGUUCCUAGUCGGAUUCGUUUCUGCCCUGCCAUGACGGAACUCCUGAAAUUAUCUUUGAUGAAGGACUGUUUUUAAAAAUUCUCUAUGCAUAGCAGACUGAUACUUUUAUAAAGUACAAUAAAAAUAAAUUAGUAGAAAAAUGAAAUUUUAGUAGAAAACAAGCUCAUUUUAAAAAUUAAAGUGAACAGACAUAAAAAUACUGUCAGGUUCCUCUGUAAGUUUCUGAAUGUGUGGUCUCAAAUUUAUUCUUUCCUGUUCAUGAGCUGCUUGUGCUUUGAGUACCUCUCCUGUGGAGGAGUAACUUCUUUUCUUUUUUUUUGGCUUUAGGGCUGCACCCGCGGCAUAUGGAGGUUCCCAGGCUAGGGGUUCAAUCAGAGCUGUAGCUGUGGGCCUACACCACAGCAACGUGGGAUCUGAGCCGUGUCUACAACCUACACCACAGCUCACAGCAAUGCCAGAUCCUUAACUCACUGAGCCAGGCCAGGGAUUGAACCCGCAACCUCGUGGGUGCUAGUCGAGUUCAUUAACCGCUGAGCCAUGAUGGGAACUCCCCAAGUAAUUUCUUUUUGAUCAUAUACCCCAUCAGUUCAGAAUUCUAGAAACUGCCAUGUGUUGCUUGCAUUUAAAUCGUAUGCAUGUACUUCUGUGCAGUUAUACAAUGUGCACUAUAAAUUAGAAAAUAACUAAAGAUUGUAUAUGCUAUUUUAAAUUUUUAAAAUUUAUUAUUAAUAGUAAAAUAGUUCACUAAAAUAUUGUUUAGUGAAAGCAGUGUAGUUGAAAAUGCUUUAAAACUUUUGAAAGCCUUGGUUCAUUCAUAAAACAAAUAAUUAGUGUAUUAAACCCAUGGCAUUAUACAAUUAAAAUAUAUACAAUUAACAUUUGUCAAUUAUACUUUAAUAAAGCUGGAAAAUUAAAUAAAAAAUAAUCUAAGCCCUCUUCAGGUGAUACUAGACCAUGAUAAAUACAAAAAUCCUUGCACACAUGGAAUCUUCUUUCUAGUGGAGGUUAACAUUUUGUGAUAUGGUCAUUGAACUCUGGUUUUAGGGUUGAGCUUGUUUUAUAUUUGUUUUGGUUGCUGUCGUUGUUGAAAUAAAUGCCUUCCUUCCAAGGUAUACAGAUAAAAAUGGGAUAAUUAUGGUAUUUGUGUUUCCUUAAUAAUGGUCUUCAGUUUUCAAUAUUAUCUAACAAUUCUGGACAGGUUUAAUGUGUUGUUUUGUUUUGGUUUGGGUUUUUUUGUUUUUUAGGGCCACACCCACGGCAUAUGGAGGUUCCCAUGCUAGGGGUCUAAUUGGAGCUGUAGCUGCCAGCCUACACCACAGUUACAGCAAUGCAGGAUCCGAGCCACGUCUGUGACCUAACCAGAGCUCAUGGCAAUGCCAGAUCCUUAACCCACUGAGAAAGGCCAGGGAUUGAACCUCUGUCCUCAUGGAUGGUAGUCAGAUUCGUUAACCACUGAGCCACAACAGGAACUCCCACGCAUGUGUGUAUUUUUAAUACAUUUUUUCAAAACCUAGUGAAACUGUGGAUUUAAACAGGUUAGGAAUUAUUAAUUUUCAAGGUGAUGUUCAGGUGAGAUUAUCUUUUUAAAGUGGGUUCGUUUACAUUUGUAACUGUAAAAGCUUGCCAACUCGCCGUGUAUCUGUUCACUAAUAGAUUACUUUAGUCUUACUGUCCUAAUUACUUUAGCUUUUAUAAGUCUUCCUGGGCAAUAGACUAGGAGUCCGCAAACAUGUUCUUCCUCUUCUUGAAGUAUAGCUGCAUUACAAUGUUGUGCUCUACAGCGCAGUGAUUUAUUUGUACAUAUGUAUUUUUAUAUUCAAUUAUGGUUCAUCACAAGACAUGGAAUAUAGUUCCGUGUGCCAUACAGUAGGACCUCGUUGUUUAUCCAUCCUCUCUGUAAUAGUUUGCAUCUCCCAAUCCUCCCCUCCCCAGCUUCUCCUCCUUGGUAACCACAAGUCUAUUCUCUGUAUCUGUCUGUCUUUGUUUCCUAGAUAUGUUGAUUUGUUGCAGUUAAGAUUCCACAUAUAAGUGAUAGCAUAUGGAUUUGUCUUUCUCUUUCUGAGUUACUUUGCUUAGUAUGAUAAUCUAGGUCUAUCCAUGUGCUGCUGCAAAUGGCGUUAUUCUUUUUUAUGGCUGAGUAAUAGUCCAUUGUGUGUAUAUUCACACACACACACACACACACACACAUCUUUAUCCAUUCAUCUGUUGAUGGACAUUUAGGUUGCCUCCAUGUCUUGGCUAUCCUAAGUAGUGCUGCAUUGAACUUUGGGUGCAUGUAUCUUUUCAAAUUACGGUUUUCUCUGGAUAUAUGCCCUGGAGUGGGAUUGCUGGGUCAUAUGUUUCUUAAUAUGAAACUCCAUUCUGAUCUUCGUAGUGGUUCUACCAGUUUACAUUGCCGCCCACAGUGGAGGAGGGUUCCCUUUUCUCCACACCUUCCCCAGCGUUUGUUAUUUGUAGACUUAGUAAUCAUGGCCAUACCAACCAGUGUGAGGUGGUCCUUCACUGUAGUCUUGAUUUGCCUCUCACUAAUUAGAGAUAGAGAGCAUUUUUUUCCGUGUACCUCCUAUCCAUAUGUAUAUCUUCUUUGAAGAAAUGUGUAUUUUUUGAUUGGGUUGUUUUUUUGUUGUUGAAUUGUAUGAGAAGUUUGUAUAUUUUGGAAGUUAAGCCCUUGUGGGUAGCACUAUUUGCAACUAUUUCUCCCAGUCUGUAAGUCGUCUUUUUGUUUUGCUUAUGGGGUUUACUUUACUGUGCAAAAGCAUGUAAAUUUGAUUAGGUCCCAUUUGUUUGUCUUUGUUUUUAUUUUUUUUGCCUUGGGAGACUGACCUAAGAAAACGUCGGUACAAUUUAUGUCAGAAUGUUUUGCCUGUGUUUUUUUGUAGGAGUUUUACGGUGCUCUGUCUUACAUUUAAGUCUUUAAGCCAUAUUGAGUUAAAUUUAUGUAUGGUGUGAGAUGUGUUCAGACUUCAUUGAUUUGCAUGCAAUUGUCAGCAAACUUCUUUUUUUCUUUUUAGGGCUGCAUCUGCAGCAUAUGCAAGUUCCCAGGCCAGGGGUCAAAUCAGAACUGCAGCAGGGGCUUAUGCCACUGGCAACACUGAAUCUGCAACCUGCACCACAGCUUGUGGCAAUGCCCGAUCCUUAACCCAUUGAAUGAGGCCGAGGAUUGAACCUGCAUCCUCACAGAGACCACAUCGGGUCCUUAACUUCUUGAGCCACAACAGGAACUCCAGCAACCAUGUUCUUAAAGGGCCAGAUAUGAAAUGUUGUAGGCUUUGCAGGCCGGAUGGUCUCUGCACACUACUCACCUCAACUACUGUAGAUAGGAAGUAGCUGUAGACAGUACAUGAACAAUGUAGAGUGACUAUGUCCCAGGAAAACUUUAUUUACAAAAAGAGGCACAUUGCUGUGAACCUGAAACUGGUCUGAGAAAAUAAAGUCUGCUGAAAGGAAAGCCCAGAGUUCCCAUCGUGGCUCAGCAGUAACAAACCAGACUAGUAUCCCUGAGGCUGUGGCUGCAAUCUCUGGCCUCGAUCAGUGGGUUAAGGAUCCAGCGUUGCCAUGGUGUAGAUUGAAGAUGCGGCUCAGAUCUUGUGUUGCUGUGGCUGUGGUGUAGGCCAGCAGCUGCAGCUCCGAUUCUAUGCCCUAAAAAAGAAAGGAAGGAAGGAAGAAAUGAAGGAAGAAGGAAGAAAGAAACGAAGACAGAAGCAACAGCAUCAUUUUUGUAUUCUUCUCGACAGUGAUGUAUAACCUAAAUCCGAUCAUCAGACAGAACUUAAUUAAGGGACAUUCUGCAAGAUAAUUGGCCAGUAAACUUCAGAAUUAUCAAGUUCAUAAGGACAAAGAAAGCAUGAAAAUUAUUCUAGGUUGAAGGAGACCAAAGAGAUAUGACAACUAAAUGCAACAUGUGGUUCUAACUAGUCAGAAUCUUGAACAAGUCUGAACAUUCUGUGGUAGAAAUGUGUUAUCACCUAUUUCCCAAUGGUGAUGGCUGCAUUAUUUGUUGUAGGAGAUUGUCCUUGUUGGAAAUAAACACAAAGGUGUCUGGGUGAGAUGGAGCAUCACUGUCAGCAGCUUACUCUCAAAGGACACAGGGGAAAAAUGGUUUUGUAUUGUACUUGCAACUUAUUCUAUAAGUUUGAGACAUUGUUUCAGCAUUCUUAAAACAUGUAUCAUUAACAGCAAGUAAAUUUGUUGCAGAAAAACAAAAACAGGCAGCCUAGUUUGACAACCCCCUACAUACUUUGAUGCUCUCCUGGAUAUUCUUGUUGUUACUGUU